UGGCGGCAGCUACACAUGCAAGUCGAACGGUAGCACAGAGAGCUUGCUCUCGGGUGACGAGUGGCGGACGGGUGAGUAAUGUCUGGGAAACUGCCUGAUGGAGGGGGAUAACUACUGGAAACGGUAGCUAAUACCGCAUAACGUCGCAAGACCAAAGAGGGGGACCUUCGGGCCUCUUGCCAUCAGAUGUGCCCAGAUGGGAUUAGCUAGUAGGUGGGGUAAUGGCUCACCUAGGCGACGAUCCCUAGCUGGUCUGAGAGGAUGACCAGCCACACUGGAACUGAGACACGGUCCAGACUCCUACGGGAGGCAGCAGUGGGGAAUAUUGCACAAUGGGCGCAAGCCUGAUGCAGCCAUGCCGCGUGUAUGAAGAAGGCCUUCGGGUUGUAAAGUACUUUCAGCGGGGAGGAAGGUGUUGUGGUUAAUAACCGCAGCAAUUGACGUUACCCGCAGAAGAAGCACCGGCUAACUCCGUGCCAGCAGCCGCGGUAAUACGGAGGGUGCAAGCGUUAAUCGGAAUUACUGGGCGUAAAGCGCACGCAGGCGGUCUGUCAAGUCGGAUGUGAAAUCCCCGGGCUCAACCUGGGAACUGCAUUCGAAACUGGCAGGCUAGAGUCUUGUAGAGGGGGGUAGAAUUCCAGGUGUAGCGGUGAAAUGCGUAGAGAUCUGGAGGAAUACCGGUGGCGAAGGCGGCCCCCUGGACAAAGACUGACGCUCAGGUGCGAAAGCGUGGGGGAGCAAACAGGAUUAGAUACCCUGGUAGUCCACGCCGUAAACGAUGUCGACUUGGAGGUUGUGCCCUUGAGGCGUGGCUUCCGGAGCUAACGCGUUAAGUCGACCGCCUGGGGAGUACGGCCGCAAGGUUAAAACUCAAAUGAAUUGACGGGGGCCCGCACAAGCGGUGGAGCAUGUGGUUUAAUUCGAUGCAACGCGAAGAACCUUACCUACUCUUGACAUCCAGAGAACUUUCCAGAGAUGGAUUGGUGCCUUCGGGAACUCUGAGACAGGUGCUGCAUGGCUGUCGUCAGCUCGUGUUGUGAAAUGUUGGGUUAAGUCCCGCAACGAGCGCAACCCUUAUCCUUUGUUGCCAGCGGUNCGGCCGGGAACUCAAAGGAGACUGCCAGUGAUAAACUGGAGGAAGGUGGGGAUGACGUCAAGUCAUCAUGGCCCUUACGAGUAGGGCUACACACGUGCUACAAUGGCGCAUACAAAGAGAAGCGACCUCGCGAGAGCAAGCGGACCUCAUAAAGUGCGUCGUAGUCCGGAUUGGAGUCUGCAACUCGACUCCAUGAAGUCGGAAUCGCUAGUAAUCGUAGAUCAGAAUGCUACGGUGAAUACGUUCCCGGGCCUUGUACACACCGCCCGUCACACCAUGGGAGUGGGUUGCAAAAGAAGUAG
rnacentral:rRNA from 1 species